UAUAAAAAAAAAAUGUAGUAUAUGCAUAGAGAUUUAAUUUAUGUCUGUAUCAUUUUUAUCGAAAAAAAGUCUUAGCAAAGUACGGUUGAUCGCGUUCAAUUGAAAUGCUGCGAUUUUAACGAUGUUUAUAGCAAUUUUUUCUUUACACGGAAAUAUACUAACCAUAAUACAAAAUCAUAACAUAACAAUCAAAUUUUGUUUUUGACCACUAUAAAUAAAAAUUACGAUAAUGGACAUCGUGUUGAAUUUUCGAACAUGUGCCGAAAAACCUAAACUAACAAACCCGAAAAUGUCAAAUGGCUCUGAAUAGCUCGAAAAUCAGCAGAAUAUAUAGAGGAUUGUAUUCUAUUUAUAUAAGGCUAAUAUAGUAUAGUUUUUUUUGUAAACACUUCAGGUAUCUGCGAUACAUUUUCACAAAAUAACAAAAAAACACAAUCGACAAUAGUGAAACCGUUAAUGUUGUAAACUUUUUUUCCUACGUUUUAUUCAAAUUAAAACUACUGAUAAAAUUAAAUGAUGGCCUUUGAAAUGCAUAGACUAAAUCUAAAUUUCUAUAAAAAAAAAAAAAAACGACAAGGAACAUUGAAACAAGGUUUUCGGCAGAAAAGUUGUUAACUGAUGGGAAAAAAAAAGGAUAAAUUCACACACAUUAUGGUGCAACAAUACAAUACAUAUUUCCCUGCACUUACAAUCUAAAAUUGAGUAUUUAUUCUAAUG